rnacentral:tRNA from 1 species
CCGGGGGUAGCGCAGAGGCAGGCGCAUCCCCGUCGCAAUGGGACCACGCCGGUUCGAAUCCGGUCCCCCGGG